rnacentral:rRNA from 1 species
UACGGGGGGGGCAAGCGUUGUUCGGAAUUACUGGGCGUAAAGGGCUCGUAGGCGGCCAACUAAGUCAGACGUGAAAUCCCUAGGCUCAACCUAGGAACUGCGUCUGAUACUGGAUGGCUUGAAUCCGGGAGAGGGAUGCAGAAUUCCAGGUGUAGCGGUGAAAUGCGUAGAUAUCUGGAGGAAUACCGGUGGCGAAGGCGGGUCUCUGGGCUGAUACUGACGCUGAGGAGCGAAAGCGUGGGGAGCGAACAGG